GGGUGAGUAACACGUGGGCAAUCUGCCCUUCACUCUGGGACAAGCCCUGGAAACGGGGUCUAAUACCGGAUACGACACGGGGUCGCAUGAUCUCCGUGUGGAAAGCUCCGGCGGUGAAGGAUGAGCCCGCGGCCUAUCAGCUUGUUGGUGAGGUAAUGGCUCACCAAGGCGACGACGGGUAGCCGGCCUGAGAGGGCGACCGGCCACACUGGGACUGAGACACGGCCCAGACUCCUACGGGAGGCAGCAGUGGGGAAUAUUGCACAAUGGGCGAAAGCCUGAUGCAGCGACGCCGCGUGAGGGAUGACGGCCUUCGGGUUGUAAACCUCUUUCAGCAGGGAAGAAGCGAAAGUGACGGUACCUGCAGAAGAAGCGCCGGCUAACUACGUGCCAGCAGCCGCGGUAAUACGUAGGGCGCAAGCGUUGUCCGGAAUUAUUGGGCGUAAAGAGCUCGUAGGCGGCUUGUCACGUCGGUUGUGAAAGCCCGGGGCUUAACCCCGGGUCUGCAGUCGAUACGGGCAGGCUAGAGUGUGGUAGGGGAGAUCGGAAUUCCUGGUGUAGCGGUGAAAUGCGCAGAUAUCAGGAGGAACACCGGUGGCGAAGGCGGAUCUCUGGGCCAUUACUGACGCUGAGGAGCGAAAGCGUGGGGAGCGAACAGGAUUAGAUACCCUGGUAGUCCACGCCGUAAACGGUGGGAACU
rnacentral:rRNA from 1 species